AAACAUUGAAAUAAGCUCUUCAGUUGAUUUUAUAAACUGCAACUCUGAGUCUUGGGCUCUUCGCAGCCGAGAAAAAGUCUUUCAUGGCUGAGGUAAAUAUAAUUUCUUCUUCUUUUGAUUUUUUGAUGAAUGAAAGAUUAUAUUCGUCGGAAAGCAAAAAAGCAGGGGGCUCAUGACCUGCUACAAGCCAAACCCAAUAGAAAAAAAACGGGAAACAAGCCAUACUAUACAAAUUAACUGAACUUCCACCGGCAACAAAAUUCACUAAAAAGAUUGUUUUGACAUUGUUAAAGAGUAACGGUGACGAAAAAUAAACUCCUCUUAUCUCAAGCCCUCAACAUUUACUUGUAGCAUUAUUACAGAGUAAUGUCACAAUUUGAAGGAGCCAAAUUAUUCAGCGCGUAGACAUUAAUUUUCCCAAUGAGAAAAUAUUAUUGUCUUAUCAACUUUAACUAUUGCAUGCAUAUGCAACUUUUUUUAUCUUUUAGAUAAGUGAAGAAACUUUAUUAAUAGAAUAACAUUGGCAAAUCAAAGCAAGGUGAAGAAUGGGUACAAAUGCCAAAAAGCUUGGGAAAAGAAAACAUGGCAAGAGUAAGGAACCUAAACCAGCAAAGGACACAUAUUAAAUAAUUAUCAUGGAUAAAUUAAAUAGCCAUGCCUUCUUGGCUAAUACAAGGAUAAACGAUUGCUCAUUCAUCAUACGAUUAGGUCAAACCACCUCUCCUAACUCCUCCCCCCAUUAAAUCUUGGAGCUGCAGGUUCACCGAUUUUGCACUUACUAUCUUUGGGGUCAUAUUUGCAUGGAGAUGCUGACCUCGCUAUCACAGUAAGGUUAGAGCAUGAUAA